AUGUAGCUCAGUGAGAGAGUGCUUGUCCAGUAUACAUGAGGCCUUGGGUUCAAUUCCCAGUAU
rnacentral:tRNA from 1 species